AUACGUAGGGGGCAAGCGUUAUCCGGAAUCACUGGGCGUAAAGGGUGCGUAGGUGGCUUAUCAAGCCAGGGGUGAAAGGCAUUGGCUCAACCAAUGUAAGCCUUUGGAACUGAUAGGCUUGAGUGCAGGAGAGGUAAGUGGAAUUCCUAGUGUAGAGGUGAAAUUCGUAGAUAUUAGGAGGAACACCAGUGGCGAAGGCGACUUACUGGACUGUAACUGACACUGAGGUGCGAAAGCGUGGGGAGC
rnacentral:rRNA from 1 species